UUGUGUUAGACCAUAUGGAGAGCUCUCUGUUGAAUUUGGCAUAGUUACUGGGGUGAAACGGGAAUGAAUUCUGUUCCUCAUCCUCUUCAAUUAUGCUGUAUGUGGGAUCAGGCAGCCAACUUCAACAGAUCAUCUGGGCAUAGCAAUCAGUCCUCAGGACAACAUCACUGCCGUCACCUAUGCCAACGAAGAAUAAUAAAUGUGGUAUUGAAGAGUUUCUGAGUGACAGGGAAUAGUGUAAUCACAAGAGUAGAUCAAUAGAGCUCCCUGCUGACAUUAAGCUAAUGUUCAGAAGUGGCGGGAGAAGCAGAACACCCACUUGUCACUCAUUUUUGUGUUGGCAUUUGGAAGAAGAGGCAAGAAGCUCAAGAGAACUUGAAGUCAUAGAAAGUUCUAAAUCCAAAUGAGUUUGUUUUUCUUCUCCAUCACACCUCACAAGGAACACAGAGAGUGAUGUCCUGUCACUUUGAUGCCUCUCUCUACUCAAAUGGCAGAAACCAACCAGGUGGGUAUGCAAAUAACACAUGAAGGGAAUAUGAUGCAACACUUAACAGUGAUGUAGUCCAGCUCCACAUAGAACAAAAUCAGGAAGCUGUUUUCUGACACGGUGACAAGAGAGUAAAAGAGCAAGAACCGGUGUCGGGGUGCAGGGUACUUCCACUAUUGCUUCUGAGGGCUGCAUAUCAGGACUGGUGAAUUCUCAAAUUGGACACUGCCCUACGACAUAGAUCAGCUGUUAUUUUGCAGUCUUAGAGGAAACCUUGAGGAAUCUCAUUCCUUCAAUUGUAUUAAAUUAUCUGCCAAUGUUGUCCAUUCCACUCAAAGUACUUUCAUUGAAGCAUUUAGCCUGGACUGCAGGAACAGCAAAAUCUCUUAAGUCAUUGUUUCAUUGGAUGUUUGGUUUACCUUUUGGUUCCACAACAAAAUAACUUAAUAAAUGAAAGAUGAGUAGAAUUGUUACUAUAGCAAUCCCCAUAGUAACAUCAAAAUGCUGGGCACUCUCAUACUUCAAGUGCUCAGGAGGCAUUCUCCUAGUCCUCCCACAUUUCAGGUCUAGCUCCCCAGGUUUCAGCUCCGAUGGCUUGAGGUCUUAGGAUAUUAAAUGAAAUCCAUUUUAUUUUCAUCCUGAAGAAUUAAUGGACUCACAAAAUGCCAAGAUUUUUUAUCUACUUAUAUCUUCUGCAGAAAAGUCAGAAGUGCAUGUUUUAUGAACUCGACAGUAUGUACGAGCUGCUUGCGUUUGAGUUGUUCUUCUGAUUUUUUAGGUCUGUCCUUAAAAACAACAUCAGCAAUAAUCCCAGGCAAGGCAUGAAUUGCUCUUUGUUGAUUUCAAUAGUCUUACAUAACUUACAUGGGGGCAGGACUAGGAGAUGAAACAUCUUCAGAAUGCAGCAUUGUGGGAACACACAUGUUUUUAAUCUCCUAUUUUCCAGAAGAUCGCCAGAAGGGAUCCCCAAGAGGUCACUUCAAGAAGCCUUUUGCCACCUGGUAGGAUUAUAAAUGGAUUCUCUGACUAAGAUCACUGUUAUUAGGUUGAAUGAAUUAAAAGCUGUAGAAAAAUUAAA